rnacentral:rRNA from 1 species
UGGUGGAGUGAUUUGUCUGAUUAAUUCUGUUAACAAACAAGACUGCCGCCUGCUAAAUAGUUCCACUAAUGGUUUUUCAUUGGUGAGAGCUUCUUAGAGGGAUGUUCAUACUACAAGAUGAAGGAAGAUGGCGGCAAUACCA